GUACUGGAAGGUCCUCAGGCCGAAAGGGGCUCUGCCCGCCCGAGGAUGGGCCGGCGGCCGAUUAGGUAGUUGGUGGGGUAACGGCCCACCAAGCCGAAGAUCGGUACGGGCCAUGAGAGUGGGAGCCCGGAGAUGGACACUGAGACACGGGUCCAGGCCCUACGGGGCGCAGCAGGCGCGAAACCUCCGCAAUGCGGGCAACCGCGACGGGGGGACCCCCAGUGCCGUGGCAACGCCACGGCUUUUCCGGAGUGUAAAAAGCUCCGGGAAUAAGGGCUGGGCAAGGCCGGUGGCAGCCGCCGCGGUAAUACCGGCGGCCCGAGUGGUGGCCGCUAUUAUUGGGCCUAAAGCGUCCGUAGCCGGGCCCGUAAGUCCCUGGCGAAAUCCCACGGCUCAACCGUGGGGCUUGCUGGGGAUACUGCGGGCCUUGGGACCGGGAGAGGCCGGGGGUACCCCUGGGGUAGGGGUGAAAUCCUAUAAUCCCAGGGGGACCGCCAGUGGCGAAGGCGCCCGGCUGGAACGGGUCCGACGGUGAGGGACGAAGGCCAGGGGAGCGAACCGGAUUAGAUACCCGGGUAGUCCUGGCUGUAAAGGAUGCGGGCUAGGUGUCGGGCGAGCUUCGAGCUCGCCCGGUGCCGAAGGG
rnacentral:rRNA from 1 species